rnacentral:misc_RNA from 1 species
GAUGAAGAACGCAACGAAAUGCGAUAAGUAAUGUGAAUUGCAGAAUUCAGUGAAUCAUCGAAUCUUUGAACGCACAUUGCGCCCGCCAGUAUUCUGGCGGGCAUGCCUGUUCGAGCGUCAUUACAACCCUCAGGCCUCCGGGCCUGGCGUUGGGGAUCGGCGGAGCCCCCCGUGGGCACACGCCGUCCCCCAAAUACAGUGGCGGUCCCGCCGCAGCCUCCGUUGCGUAGUAGCUAACACCUCGCAACUGGAGAGCGGCGCGGCCACGCCGUAAAACACCCAACUUCUGAAUGUUGACCUCGAAUCAGGUAGGAAUACCCGCUGAACUUAAGCAUAUCAAUAAGCGGAGGA